GGUACACACCUACCUACAGACCAAAGAGUCAAAGUUAAGGCUGGGUACUUUGGAAGAACCAGUCAGAGUACUUAAUCAAAUAAAUGUAUGAACCACUUCCUUAAAAUACAUGUAUGUACACUGCCUCACUGAUGACUAAAUGAGAAAAUAUUCUUGUUAGCUUUAACAGGUUUAACCCUUUUUUCUCUGCUAUUUUUAGGUGAGUAGUUCACUGGCUGUAGUUGCUGAUUCACAGUUAGACAGCUAGUGAUACUCCUAUGACUGAUGAGGUAAGACGCUAUGCUGGGAGAUGACCUAAAGUAGGAGCUGUUGGGACAAGCAGGUACUCCGUGGCGGUCCCUUCACUUCCCUGUACAGUAGUGCACUUGGGUGUCAAUGCAGAUGGUGUGUGGUUUUUCACGAGUGUGGUGUAACUCCCCUACAUUUCAGCUGAAAUUUCUGGUCCAUGUAUCUCUGUAAUGUUUACAGAUGUUUUAUAAACCAUCUCUUAAAGGUUUACAAAUCAUCUGUCAUCAUGCAAGACUGUGCAAUAAAGUGUUAACAUAACAUCAAUUAUAGCAUUAUAAAUAAUGUGAAACACUAUUAAGUAUCAUUUCAUUGUUUGUUAACAGUAAAAUAACUAUUAGCUAAAGUUAAUUAACUAUAAAUUUAUUAUUUAUUGAUGAUGGUUGUUGUAAAGUGUUACUGUCUUUUAUCAGUGUGUUAUCACGUUCAUGUUUAAAUCUCUGUAACAAGGCUGCAGGUGAACUUUCUUUAUUCCUGCUACAGUCAUUCUUUACUGGACGUCUCUGUAUUUAUUAGAUUAAAAACACAAGAUAUGAAAAAGGAGUUUACCUGGAAGGAGUAACCUGCUGGAGACAGGAAGCGAGGGCUGUACAGUUUACUUCCCACCGCUGUGGUGGCCAUCAGGCGGGUGAUGUUGCGGAUGUGCCAGAUGUGCUGAGGGCACUUGGUGGAUGAUAGGUUGAUGUCAUCUAUAGAGAAACCUCCUUUUGAUGCACCGUUUCCCCGCACACCCUCAAACACUACACGUGACUUAUGUAUCACAUUCAGAUUGAUGUUGUGCAGCUCCCAGGAGCCCAUAAAACCCCCUAAAGAGAACAGGAUAUUACAAGUCUGAAACUAUAUUCAACUGUAACAAUCAUAUCACUGUAGUGUUAUGUAUUAAACAAAGAGCUGGUAAGCUUAAAAAC